ACUGGCACAGUGAUGACUUAAUUACUUUUUGCCGUUUACCCAGCUGAGGGUAUCUUUGAAGAAAUAAUGUUAAGACUGAGGUGCCAGU